AUAAAAAGAAGCAAUUUGGAGCCUUUUGGAGCAAAUUGGAGCUUGGAUUGGAUAUCACAUAUUUGGAGCCAAGAGGAUGGACGAAAUUGAAGAGUUGAAGAUGAUGUUUCCUACUUGAACAAGGUUUCUUAGUCGAAGUAGGAAAGUGCCUAAGUUAAAGAUGAAAUCCUAAUCAACGAAGGAUUCCUAGUUGGAGAUGGAUUCCUAGAAGAAUGAAGAUUCCUACUCAAACAAGGUUUCCUACUCGAAGUAGGAAAGUUAAAUCCAAAUGGCAUCAAGUUUCAGCAACAAAGAAGAAUUCCAAGUCAAGGGAGGAUUGAGACAUGUUUUCCUAAUGCUAGAAGGACUCCUAAGUGUUGUAGGA
rnacentral:lncRNA from 1 species